rnacentral:rRNA from 1 species
GAUGAACGCUGGCGGCGUGCCUAAUACAUGCAAGUCGAGCGAACGGACGAGAAGCUUGCUUCUCUGAUGUUAGCGGCGGACGGGUGAGUAACACGUGUAUAACCUACCUAUAAGACUGGGAUAAUUUCGGGAAACCGGAGCUAAUACCGGAUAAUAUUUUGAACCGCAUGGUUCAAAAGUGAAAGACGGUCUUGCUGUCUCUUAUCGAUGGAUCCGCGCUGCAUUAGCUAGUUGGUAAGGUAACGGCUUACCAAGGCAACGAUGCAUAGCCGACCUGAGAGGGUGAUCGGCCACACUGGAACUGAGACACGGUCAAGACUCCUACGGGAGGCAGCAGUAGGGAAUCUUCCGCAAUGGGCGAGAGCCUGACGGAGCAACGCCGCGUGAGUGAUGAAGGUCUUCGGAUCGUAAAACUCUGUUAUGAGGGAAGAACAUAUGUGUAAGUAACUGUGCACAUCUUGACGGUACCUAAUCAGAAAGCCCCGGCUAACUACGUG